rnacentral:rRNA from 1 species
GAUGAACGCUGGUGGCGUGCCUAAUACAUGCAAGUCGAGCGAACAGACGAGGAGCUUGCUCCUCUGACGUUAGCGGCGGACGGGUGAGUAACACGUAGAUAACCUACCUAUAAGACUGGGAUAACUUCGGGAAACCGGAGCUAAUACCGGAUAAUAUAUUGAACCGCAUGGUUCAAUAGUGAAAGACGGUUUUGCUGUCACUUAUAGAUGGACCCGCGCCGCAUUAGCUAGUUGGUAAGGUAACGGCUUACCAAGGCAACGAUGCGUAGCCGACCUGAGAGGGUGAUCGGCCACACUGGAACUGAGACACGGUCCAGACUCCUACGGGAGGCAGCAGUAGGGAAUCUUCCGCAAUGGGCGAAAGCCUGACGGAGCAACGCCGCGUGAGUGAUGAAGGUCUUCGGAUCGUAAAACUCUGUUAUUAGGGAAGAACAAAUGUGUAAGUAACUAUGCACGUCUUGACGGUACCUAAUCAGAAAGCCACGGCUAACUACGUG